UACGUAGGGUGCAGGCGUUAAUCGGAAUUACUGGGCGUAAAGCGUGCGCAGGCGGUUUCUUAAGUCAGAUGUGAAAGCCCCGGGCUUAACCUGGGAACUGCGUUUGAAACUGGGAGACUUGAGUGUGGCAGAGGGGGGUGGAAUUCCACGUGUAGCAGUGAAAUGCGUAGAUAUGUGGAGGAACACCAAUAGCGAAGGCAGCCCCCUGGGUCAACACUGACGCUCAUGCACGAAAGCGUGGGGAGCAAACAGG
rnacentral:rRNA from 1 species